ACUGUCUUAAGGUCCGAUAAUCUUAUAGGGAAUGAUUUGCUUUCCCAAACCGAUGUCUCCACCACGAUAAAUACAAUACGGUAGCGCGACUUAUGAAAAAGGCCUAUCAGCCAUCUUGGAUUUUUUAUGCAGUGUUUGUAAACAAUCUGCAAUAUUUUGCAAUAUUUUUUUUUUGCUCUCUGUGUGUAGAAUUGUUUUGGUUAUUCUGAAUUUCUGCAGGGAGAGAGUGUUGAUGGAUAUGGGCAAAGUUGUUAUUUUAAAAUGACUGGAACUGUGGCAAUAAGAGCAUUAAAAAGUUGAAAGCUGGCGCAUUCAAUGAACACAUUCCAGCAAUUGCACACUCGUACUACCGUUAGCUAUUAUGCGAAGCACGCGAAGGAAGGUAUUGCAAAGGCACCUUCCGCUGCUCCAUCGGAAAUAGGAUCGGAACCAGACAAUGAGGCGAAAACUGAGCAGCCACGGGGGAGCAGUGCCGAUAAGGAAAAUCAGCAUGUACGCGGGAUUUUACUUUCGAAGGAAUAGGAAUGUACUCCGAAUAAAAUGUGGACAAGCACAAGCGCGAUGGGUUGUCGGAAAAAUGUUCCUGUUGCACUUAUCAUGCAGAUAAAAAAGAAUGGAAACGGUUCAAAUAUAGUCUACCAGGAGAAAACAACCAUUCAAAGCUUAGAUGGAAAGUGCGAAACAAACUGUAAAGUAAAUUUAAACCAACAAAAUUCGAUUUUAUUUCAUGAUGCUAAUGAUUUACCGAUCGACAUGGAAUUUCGUCAUAAAUGACUUCGCAUCGUUGCGAUGUGAAUGUUCGCUUAAUUUCGAUUCAAUUUCCUGCGCUGCGCUUCUAGUCAGAACCAGAGUAUUGAGUUUAAGCAUUGAGUAGACAUUCAGUCUAUAAACGUGCAUCAGAUUCAUAUAUUCGACUGCAUCCGCCCCAGCGGUGAUAUUCUUCGGCAUAGUAUCGCUGCUAUCGAUGAACAAAACUGACGGUCCCCAUGCUCACUCAUGAGCCAAAUCCUUUAGAUAUUGUGGAUCAUCUGUAGGAAUUUUCAAACUCUCGACAACAUGCAGAUCAUUCUGGGCAAAUUUGAUCGACAGCGAUGACAGCAAGAGACAUUUGUUCAAAGCCCCCAAAUAAAAUUCUUCUUAAAAAGCGUUCUGAUCUGUUACACUGCUUGCUGGGGCUAUACACAAUAUCUGCCAGUCUGAUCAUGCCGAGAGACAGUAUUCCAGCUGCAUUCAGGAUGGAUACCUACGAAAAAGAUUUAAAAUUGUUCACAAAUCUGAAACUGGCGAUUGUUUAUUUGCGUAUAAAAAUGAAUAUGGGUUGCGACAGGUACAACUUAGAGGCGAAUGAACUCUACGAGUUUAAAGCCUCUAUAAUUCAACAACAACAACGACAGGUUUUCUAUACUAAUCUGAACAGAAAAGCCUUACAGAUUUUUAUCAAUCGGUAAUGAAUUGGUUUUAAACUUAUACUCAAUGAGAUUAUUGCAACUCUAUCGAACUAUUGAUACUCAUUUUUCAUUAAUCAACAGUAUGCAACACGUCAAUUUUGAAACAUAUGGAUAUGAUUUCUACAGAUCAACUUGUUAAAAUUGAACAGCUGUUCAGAAAAAAAACAUAUUUCAACAAUAUGUAAUAAAAGUAUUUAUAAUAUGUUGCAUCUCAGUACAACAUAAAACAUAUGAACAACAUAUUUGUGUAACGAAAUGAAGAAGAAAAACUCACAAGAUAUCUCGACAUUUUCUAUUUCAUCACUACUACUUCUUGCGCUGUCGGCGGGUUGAUUUUCAACUUCUCCCAAUUGAGUUCAGUGUUCAGGAUUCCCUGGUAAUGCUAGAAGUGAAAACAGUUUAUUACACGGUUUUUAUUCAAUACGAUACACUCACCAUCAGCAUUGAUUCUUCGAAGCCGCUCAACCGAGUAUGAGAUAUUUUCGCACUCUUCAUUCCUUUUAUAGCAAGAGGAAUCGAAAUGUUUCGAACAAAUACCUUGGUUACCUAGAGGUUUCCACUGUUUUUGUUGUCCACAAUAAGCGAUCCAUUUCAAGAGCAGAUCCUCUCUUUUGGGAAAUCUAUGCACGGUAAUACAUUCAGCUUUAUUUUUGUAUCGAGAACGAGUUAUUUCGCAGCCCUUAACGGCACAGAAAUUAGCCAUCUGCAAGAAAACGAAAUUAUAUCUUAUUAUAUAUUGCACCAUUUAAAAGAUAAAAAUACACUUACCUCGAAAUUCCUCACAGGUGAUUCCUCUGCCCAAAUAAACUAUCCUUAUUUCUUGGCACAAUUCAAAUGUUUUGAUAACAAACAAUUGUAAUGUUAUUCGAUGUUAAUUGAUGUUAAAUGAUUUUUAUAAUCCAGAAAUAUUCUCGUUCAUGGAAUGUUCAUCAGAGCCAAACUUGACAGCAAUAUUUUUCCCCCGCUUUGCAGUCAAAUCCCUUUCCACAGUCCUCUGUAUGUUUAUACCGUUUCCCCUCGCGCACUUAUUGACGACACGGUCACACCUUUAUUCUACACAUCUUGGUCUCCACCAGACACCGACACCAAGGAAAGUGAAGUGGAAGGUAAAACGUAAUGUCAGAAUUGCCGUUCGGACGUAUCCCUUUCGCCGGCACGGUUGAUUGUCGUUAUGAACCAGCACAAAAAAACAAAGCUGCAAAUUAUGCGCCAGUGGCGGUACCACGAUCAAAGCACUCCCUGAAUCACAUUAGCCGAGCCAGAUGGCGGAAGCAUAUGCAUAAAGGUUACUAGGUUACUAUUUUCAACGACAACUGUUUAUUUAUUAUACUGCUUCAAAUACCUUCGACGAAAUCAAAUGUAACCAUACCAACGUAAGUAAUAACAUAAACAAAUCCAAAUUUUUCGUCUUGCUAUUCCUCAAACGUCUUUUCUAAAUAGUGUAAAUUACGAGCCACCUGUUAACUCCACCAUCUUGGUCGACACCAAGGCGCUUAUAUCAAUGUAUAACAGGUGAAGCAACAUCAUCACUUCAAAAACAGGAAGUGGGUUAUAUCUAUGGUAUAACCGUAAGGGAGACGUAGGACUAUCGUUGAUUUAGGGAUCAUUUGUUUGAAGUUGAAUCUAAAUCCAUCCUGAAUGAAUGAAUAAAUAAAUAUUUGGGUGGCUUCAAAAACGAGAGCAUUACGUUGGAGGCUCAAGGUUAUAUGCAUCCAAUAUUGGAUACAAAAAACCUUGUUCUGAAGAAUAAUCUUCAGAAGCUUUCCUGUUAACUGCACUUGAUUGACAAACCACAAAACCAAAUGUAUGUGGUCGCAGUAUUAUAUGGAUAGAAAAAGUCACAGGAGGGUUGUAUCCAAGACACGACCGCAUAGUUGACGUAGGAUUCCGUUAGGCUAUCUGCUGCAUGCUGAUUUUGGAUAAAUUGUAAAACUCUUCGAUAAUGAUUUGGGUCCGUUUUGUCUGGUUGUUAGGUAAUGUUUGUUCACUCCACCAGUGUCCAUAACCGAGUGAUAAUGAUAAAAGGAUGGUGAUUAGUCAUUAGAUAGUGCGUAUCACGUACCAAAGCCGCCCUCUGUAUUCCUGGACGAGAUGGCUCCUGUGUGAUGUAUGGAUGAAAUAAAGAAAAAAAAAGCUCAUCAAUCAUCAUCGAACACAAGUUUUCUCACCAGAAAAAAAGUGUUACUUUAGUAUAGAGAAAAUAUAUAUGAAAUGGAAAAGGUAAUUUCAUUUAUAAUUUUUUUCUGAGUGUUUAUUCAACCCAUUUCCUUUUUGCUUUAAACCCAACGGAACACGAUGCUACAUUCCUCAAGGCGAAUUUCAAUUGAGCUAACAGCACCCAAUACGAUAUAUAGAGCAUAUGUGAAAUCACUUUUUCGAAUACUCCUUCAUUUUUCCAAUUUUGCUCGUCGCAUGAACUUUCCUUGGGAAAAAAAAUCGUUUCAUAUUUCAAGUCAUUUUAACACAAUAGCUACCAUUCACAAUUUUACGCUUACAGUUCUGCUAAAAGUUUCAAAAUACAUGAUCGGUCAUUGAUAUGAAAUUUCACGAAGCAACCAACAUAAAAGUUCCAAAUUUUAAUUUUAUUUAUAUUCCAUCUAGCAUAAGUUCUAUUCAGCUCAUUGAAACAUCAUUCUUCAAUCUACCCAACGAAAGAUUCUUAUUGGAACGAAAAUAACAAAAAAAAACACUCGUUCAUCGCUCCCAACUUAUCCGCCAGCACGUAUGCAAUCAGCAAUGCCCACGCUAGUUACCAUUUGUGCGCGUCGUUAGUUAAACUAUCGACCACGAGGGUAUUUACAUGCUGAUUUCCCCCAGACACCUUGGAUUUGAAAUCUCUGUUAGGGAAUACGUGUCGGUGAGAAUAAAAGCUCCCCCUACUUUCAUGUAUUGUUCGAUAGUUAGUUUCAUGACAUAUAUUGUUUUAGUCAAUGUAAAAAAUUGUUAUGGAGUGCCGAAAUUGAAUGACGCAAAAAUCUCAUCAAUCCAUCAUAAAAUGACUUAGCAAUAAGCAUUUGAAAUUGGACAAUUUUCACGGUGCGCUCGAUUUUCGAUUUUCAAUUUGUACCCCAAUAUGUUCCCGAAAGACGCAAUCCUACGUCAAAAAUUAAAAUAAACUCGCUUGAAUGUAAUUUUCAAUUCCAAGGGGAACUGGCAGAUUAUUUUUCAGCAACGAUCAUUUCUUUCCAGGUUUCUUCUCGAUAACCAGCAAACGAAAAGAGUUGCGCGCGUGUAUGUGUGUGUGUGUGUGUGGUGGCUGCUUCUAUGUCUUCCCGAGGAACCGUAUUUCGAUGCUGAUACUCUCUUGGUCACCUUCUCUUCUCCUUCUGAUCGAUCGGCUUUUCUGCGCUCCCUCACAGUUAAAACAAACUGAUUGCAUUUCAGGUCAGGUCAAGCCAGGUAAUGAAUACCUCGAUCCCUCGCCGUUCAGCUCGUU